rnacentral:rRNA from 1 species
AGUGAACGCUGGCGGUAGGCCUAACACAUGCAAGUCGAACGGCAGCACAGUAAGAGCUUGCUCUUACGGGUGGCGAGUGGCGGACGGGUGAGGAAUACAUCGGAAUCUACUUUUUCGUGGGGGAUAACGUAGGGAAACUUACGCUAAUACCGCAUACGACCUACGGGUGAAAGCAGGGGAUCUUCGGACCUUGCGCGAUUGAAUGAGCCGAUUUCGGAUUAGCUAGUUGGCGGGGUAAAGGCCCACCAAGGCGACGAUCCGUAGCUGGUCUGAGAGGAUGAUCAGCCACACUGGAACUGAGACACGGUCCAGACUCCUACGGGAGGCAGCAGUGGGGAAUAUUGGACAAUGGGCGCAAGCCUGAUCCAGCAAUACCGCGUGGGUGAAGAAGGCCUUCGGGUUGUAAAGCCCUUUUGUUGGGAAAGAAAAGCAGCAGGUUAAUACCCCGCUGUUAUGACGGUACCCAAAGAAUAAGCACCGGCUAACUUCGUG